rnacentral:rRNA from 1 species
AUUGAACGCUGGCGGCAGGCCUAACACAUGCAAGUCGAACGAGUGGCGGACGGGUGAGUAAUGUCUGGGAAACUGCCUGAUGGAGGGGGAUAACUACUGGAAACGGUAGCUAAUCCCGCAUACCAUCGGAUGUGCCCAGACGGGAUUAGCUGGUGGGUGGGGUAAAGGCUCACCUAGGCGACGAUCCCUAGCUGGUCUGAGCGGAGGACCACCCACCUUGGAAUGGAGACACGGUCCAGACUCCUACGGGAGGCAGCAGUGGGGAAUAUUGCACAAUGGGCGCAAGCCUGAUGCGGCAAUGCCGCGUGUAGGAAGAAGGCCUUCGGGUUGUAAAGUACUUUCAGCGGGGAGGCGUUACCCACAGAAGAAGCACCGGCUAACUCCGUGCCAGCAGCCGCGGUAAUUC